UUUUUUUUUUUUUUAUUCUUUUUAAUUGUCUUUUAACCCAUAUAAAAUUAAAACCCUACUUGGCUACCUAGCGCAAAUGAGAAAAGGAGAAACACAACAGCUCCUCUCUUUCAACAACGGGUAUGUCUUUCUCUCUCUCUCUCCUCUUCUUCUCUCCUUCCUUCUUUUGCAGUUAUUCCUAUUUUCCUUAAUUCAGUAUUCCUAUUUUCCUUAAUUCAGUUUUCUUCUUGGAUUCUGAUGGUGCUAUUCUUUUGUCAAGCAUUCAGAUAUUCAAGAAUCCUAAAUCAACUUCGCAUGAAAAACCCUUUUUUUCUUUGAAGUCAAUUCUAAAAUUUCUCAUUUAUCAAUCCCUAAUCUGCUGCAGACACCAAACAGAUCAGUUUGAACCUGCAUAUGAUUUUGCAUGUUGACUAAGGAAAGCCUAAAUAAAAUCACACAAAGAAAAAAAUUGAGGGUGUGUUUACAUGUGAAAAAACUAGAGCAGUUUUCUGGAAAAUUUUUUCAAGAAAACUGAAAAGUGCGAUCAAAUGUAAAAUUUUUCAAACUUGAAAACUAAAAAUUAAUUUUCCAGUUCUCUAAAUUACAAGUAUAAACAUGGAAGCUCCUCUAUGUUUUCUUUGUUCUUUGUCUUGGGUUGUGGUUUCAAUCCCAGACUCAAUGCACACCCUUUUCAAAUUUUUCUUUUUAUUAUCUUCCUAUUAAGCUAUUUGAGUUUCCUACAAGUUUGGGCUCUUCUUUUUUUCUUUCUCAAGUUGCAAUGUUUGGUUUUACGA
rnacentral:misc_RNA from 1 species